UGCAAGUCGAGCGGACAGAAGGGAGCUUGCUCCCGGAUGUUAGCGGCGGACGGGUGAGUAACACGUGGGUAACCUGCCUGUAAGACUGGGAUAACUCCGGGAAACCGGAGCUAAUACCGGAUAGUUCCUUGAACCGCAUGGUUCAAGGAUGAAAGACGGUUUCGGCUGUCACUUACAGAUGGACCCGCGGCGCAUUAGCUAGUUGGUGGGGUAAUGGCUCACCAAGGCGACGAUGCGUAGCCGACCUGAGAGGGUGAUCGGCCACACUGGGACUGAGACACGGCCCAGACUCCUACGGGAGGCAGCAGUAGGGAAUCUUCCGCAAUGGACGAAAGUCUGACGGAGCAACGCCGCGUGAGUGAUGAAGGUUUUCGGAUCGUAAAGCUCUGUUGUUAGGGAAGAACAAGUGCGAGAGUAACUGCUCGCACCUUGACGGUACCUAACCAGAAAGCCACGGCUAACUACGUGCCAGCAGCCGCGGUAAUACGUAGGUGGCAAGCGUUGUCCGGAAUUAUUGGGCGUAAAGGGCUCGCAGGCGGUUUCUUAAGUCUGAUGUGAAAGCCCCCGGCUCAACCGGGGAGGGUCAUUGGAAACUGGGAAACUUGAGUGCAGAAGAGGAGAGUGGAAUUCCACGUGUAGCGGUGAAAUGCGUAGAGAUGUGGAGGAACACCAGU
rnacentral:rRNA from 1 species